GUCCACAGUGUAGACCACAC
rnacentral:piRNA from 1 species